rnacentral:rRNA from 1 species
CCUACGGGGUGCAGCAGUCGAGAAUCAUUCACAAUGGGGGAAACCCUGAUGGUGCGACGCCGCGUGAAGGAAGAAGGCUUUCGGGUUGUAAACUUCUUUGACAGGGGAAGAGCAGAAGACGGUACCCUGAAAACAAGCCACGGCUAACUACGUGCCAGCAGCCGCGGUAAUACGUAGGUGGCAAGCGUUGUCCGGAUUUACUGGGUGUAAAGGGCGUGUAGCCGGGAAGGCAAGUCAGAUGUGAAAUCCGGAGGCUCAACCUCCGAAUUGCAUUUGAAACUGUUUUUCUUGAGUACUGGAGAGGCAGACGGAAUUCCUUGUGUAGCGGUGAAAUGCGUAGAUAUAAGGAGGAACACCAGUGGCGAAGGCGGUCUGCUGGACAGCAACUGACGGUGAGGCGCGAAAGCGUGGGGAGCAAACAGGAUUAGAUACCCGAGUAGUC